rnacentral:rRNA from 1 species
CGGGACACGUGGUAUCCUGUCUGAAUAUGGGGGGACCAUCCUCCAAGGCUAAAUACUCCUGACUGACCGAUAGUGAACCAGUACCGUGAGGGAAAGGCGAAAAGAACCCCGGCGAGGGGAGUGAAAAAGAACCUGAAACCGUGUACGUACAAGCAGUGGGAGCACGCUUAGGCGUGUGACUGCGUACCUUUUGUAUAAUGGGUCAGCGACUUAUAUUCUGUAGCAAGGUUAACCGAAUAGGGGAGCCGAAGGGAAACCGAGUCUUAACUGGGCGUUAAGUUGCAGGGUAUAGACCCGAAACCCGGUGAUCUAGCCAUGGGCAGGUUGAAGGUUGGGUAACACUAACUGGAGGACCGAACCGACUAAUGUUGAAAAAUUAGCGGAUGACUUGUGGCUGGGGGUGAAAGGCCAAUCAAACCGGGAGAUAGCUGGUUCUCCCCGAAAGCUAUUUAGGUAGCGCCUCGUGAAUUCAUCUCCGGGGGUAGAGCACUGUUUCGGCAAGGGGGUCAUCCCGACUUACCAACCCGAUGCAAACUGCGAAUACCGGAGAAUGUUAUCACGGGAGACACACGGCGGGUGCUAACGUCCGUCGUGAAGAGGGAAACAACCCAGACCGCCAGCUAAGGUCCCAAAGUCAUGGUUAAGUGGGAAACGAUGUGGGAAGGCCCAGACAGCCAGGAUGUUGGCUUAGAAGCAGCCAUCAUUUAAAGAAAGCGUAAUAGCUCACUGGUCGAGUCGGCCUGCGCGGAAGAUGUAACGGGGCUAAACCAUGCACCGAAGCUGCGGCAGCGACGCUUAUGCGUUGUUGGGUAGGGGAGCGUUCUGUAAGCCUGUGAAGGUGUACUGUGAGGUAUGCUGGAGGUAUCAGAAGUGCGAAUGCUGACAUAAGUAACGAUAAAGCGGGUGAAAAGCCCGCUCGCCGGAAGACCAAGGGUUCCUGUCCAACGUUAAUCGGGGCAGGGUGAGUCGACCCCUAAGGCGAGGCCGAAAGGCGUAGUCGAUGGGAAACAGGUUAAUAUUCCUGUACUUGGUGUUACUGCGAAGGGGGGACGGAGAAGGCUAUGUUGGCCGGGCGACGGUUGUCCCGGUUUAAGCGUGUAGGCUGGUUUUCCAGGCAAAUCCGGAAAAUCAAGGCUGAGGCGUGAUGACGAGGCACUACGGUGCUGAAGCAACAAAUGCCCUGCUUCCAGGAAAAGCCUCUAAGCAUCAGGUAACAUCAAAUCGUACCCCAAACCGACACAGGUGGUCAGGUAGAGAAUACCAAGGCGCUUGAGAGAACUCGGGUGAAGGAACUAGGCAAAAUGGUGCCGUAACUUCGGGAGAAGGCACGCUGAUAUGUAGGUGAAGUCCCUCGCGGAUGGAGCUGAAAUCAGUCGAAGAUACCAGCUGGCUGCAACUGUUUAUUAAAAACACAGCACUGUGCAAACACGAAAGUGGACGUAUACGGUGUGACGCCUGCCCGGUGCCGGAAGGUUAAUUGAUGGGGUUAGCGCAAGCGAAGCUCUUGAUCGAAGCCCCGGUAAACGGCGGCCGUAACUAUAACGGUCCUAAGGUAGCGAAAUUCCUUGUCGGGUAAGUUCCGACCUGCACGAAUGGCGUAAUGAUGGCCAGGCUGUCUCCACCCGAGACUCAGUGAAAUUGAACUCGCUGUGAAGAUGCAGUGUACCCGCGGCAAGACGGAAAGACCCCGUGAACCUUUACUAUAGCUUGACACUGAACAUUGAGCCUUGAUGUGUAGGAUAGGUGGGAGGCUUUGAAGUGUGGACGCCAGUCUGCAUGGAGCCGACCUUGAAAUACCACCCUUUAAUGUUUGAUGUUCUAACGUGGACCCGUAAUCCGGGUUGCGGACAGUGUCUGGUGGGUAGUUUGACUGGGGCGGUCUCCUCCUAAAGAGUAACGGAGGAGCACGAAGGUUGGCUAAUCCUGGUCGGACAUCAGGAGGUUAGUGCAAUGGCAUAAGCCAGCUUGACUGCGAGCGUGACGGCGCGAGCAGGUGCGAAAGCAGGUCAUAGUGAUCCGGUGGUUCUGAAUGGAAGGGCCAUCGCUCAACGGAUAAAAGGUACUCCGGGGAUAACAGGCUGAUACCGCCCAAGAGUUCAUAUCGACGGCGGUGUUUGGCACCUCGAUGUCGGCUCAUCACAUCCUGGGGCUGAAGUAGGUCCCAAGGGUAUGGCUGUUCGCCAUUUAAAGUGGUACGCGAGCUGGGUUUAGAACGUCGUGAGACAGUUCGGUCCCUA